GACGAACGCUGGCGGCGUGCUUAACACAUGCAAGUCGAACGGAAAGGCCCUGCUUUUGUGGGGUGCUCGAGUGGCGAACGGGUGAGUAACACGUGAGUAACCUGCCCUUGACUUUGGGAUAACUUCAGGAAACUGGGGCUAAUACCGGAUAGGAGCUCCUGCUGCAUGGUGGGGGUUGGAAAGUUUCGGCGGUUGGGGAUGGACUCGCGGCUUAUCAGCUUGUUGGUGGGGUAGUGGCUUACCAAGGCUUUGACGGGUAGCCGGCCUGAGAGGGUGACCGGGCACAUUGGUACUGAGAUACGGCCCAGACUCCUACGGGAGGCAGCAGUGGGGAAUAUUGCACAAUGGGCGGAAGCCAGAUGCAGCAACGCCGCGUGCGGGAUGACGGCUUACGGGUUGUAAACCGCUUUCGCCUGUGACGAAGCGUGAGUGACGGUAAUGGGUAAAGAAGCACCGGCUAACUACGUG
rnacentral:rRNA from 1 species